rnacentral:tRNA from 1 species
GGUCCAGUGGUGUAGUGAUCAUCACGUUCGCCUCACACGCGAAAGGUCCCCGGUUCGAACCCGGGCUGGAUCA